rnacentral:misc_RNA from 1 species
GAUAAAAUUUUUAUUUUAUUAUAUAAUAAUUUAUUAUAUUUUAUAAUAAACACAUAUGAUGGUACGUAAAUAUUUAUUAAAAUAUAUACGUUUAAAUAGUUGUUUUAAAUAACAUCAGCCAUCUAAAUUUUUUUUUAAUACAUAAUUUUAUUAUUUUAUUAUAAAUAAAAAAAAAAAUAUAUUU